rnacentral:rRNA from 1 species
GGUUAAGUGAAUAAGGGCGCACGGUGGAUGCCUUGGCACUAGGAGCCGAUGAAGGACGGGACUAACACCGAUAUGCUUUGGGGAGCUGUACGUAAGCUAUGAUCCAGAGAUUUCCGAAUGGGGGAACCCAGCAUCUUUAAUAGGAUGUUACGAUUGUGUGAAUACAUAGCACAUUCGAGGUAGACGCAGAGAACUGAAACAUCUAAGUACCUGCAGGAAGAGAAAGAAAAUUCGAUUCCCUGAGUAGCGGCGAGCGAAACGGGAAAAGCCCAAACCA